rnacentral:rRNA from 1 species
UACGUAGGGAGCAAGCGUUGUCCGGAAUCAUUGGGCGUAAAGCGCGCGUAGGUGGCUUCGUAAGUCCGUUGUGAAAGUCAAAGGCUCAACCUUUGAAAGCCGAUGGAUACUGCGGAGCUAGAGUACGGAAGAGGCGAGUGGAAUUCCUGGUGUAGCGGUGGAAUGCGCAGAUAUCAGGAGGAACACCAAUAGCGAAGGCAGCUCGCUGGGACGUUACUGACACUGAGGCGCGAAAGCGUGGGGGGCGAACAGG